GAUGAACGCUGGCGGCGUGCCUAAUACAUGCAAGUCGAGCGAACGGACGAGAAGCUUGCUUCUCUGAUGUUAGCGGCGGACGGGUGAGUAACACGUGGAUAACCUACCUAUAGGGCUGGGAUAACUUCGGGAAACCGGAGCUAAUACCGGAUAAUAUUUUGAACCGCAUGGUUCAAAAGUGAAAGACGGUCUUGCUGUCACUUAUAGAUGGAUCCGCGCUGCAUUAGCUAGUUGGUAAGGUAACGGCUUACCAAGGCAACGAUGCAUAGCCGACCUGAGAGGGUGAUCGGCCACACUGGAACUGAGACACGGUCCAGACUCCUACGGGAGGCAGCAGUAGGGAAUCUUCCGCAAUGGGCGAAAGCCUGACGGAGCAACGCCGCGUGAGUGAUGAAGGUCUUCGGAUCGUAAAACUCUGUUAUUAGGGAAGAACAUAUGUGUAAGUAACUGUGCACAUCUUGACGGUACCUAAUCAGAAAGCCACGGCUAACUACGUG
rnacentral:rRNA from 1 species